rnacentral:tRNA from 1 species
AACGAGAUAGUUUAGUGGUUAGAACGAUGGAAUCAUAAAUCAUAUAUCGUGGGUUCAAAUCCCUCUCUCGUUA